GCUGACAUAGCUUAACCAAAGCAUGACACUGAAGCUGUCAAGAUGGGGCCUGAUAAACCCCUGUAAGCA
rnacentral:tRNA from 1 species